CUUGGGCUCUAGCGCUGGGCCAGGUCCGGAGACAGGCUUCGCCCAGGUGACAGGAAACCCUAGCGGUGCUACCCGGCCUCGUGGGGUGCCUGGCCCACUCGCUACUGCCCCGGGGCCCUGCUGCCUCCCCAGCCCUGCCCCGGGGCGGGACCGAAGGUCAGGGCUAGCUGCUCCCUCCCGUCCCUCCUCAUCUCAAGGCUGUUGCUGUUUUGUGGGAGGCUCACUAUUCACUUUGACUUCAGCCACGUGCACGCAGCAUGGCGUCCUCGCAGCAGGUCCGGGGAGAGAAGAUUAACAUCCAGGCAGGAGAGACGGCCAAGGAUGGGGACAGGGACCUGCUGGAGAACGACUGUGUGGAGUGGGACAAGCCCCUCCCGCGCUCCUGGAGGCAGAAGUGCGCCUCCUAUGUGCUGGCCCUGCGGCCCUGGAGCUUCAGUGCCUCGCUCACCCCGGUGGCCCUGGGCAGCGCCCUGGCCUAUAGAUCCCAGGGCGUCCUGGAUCCCCGGCUGUUGGUGGGUUGUGCCGUGGCAGUCCUGGCUGUGCACGGGGCUGGCAAUUUGGUCAACACUUACUAUGACUUUUCCAAAGGCAUUGACCACAAAAAGAGUGAUGACAGGACCCUGGUGGACCGGAUCUUGGAGCCCCAGGAUGUUGUCUGGUUUGGAGUCUUCCUCUACACUUUAGGCUGUGUCUGUGCCGCUUGCCUCUACUACCUGUCCCCUCUGAAACUGGAGCACUUGGCUCUCAUCUACUUUGGAGGCCUGUCUGGCUCCUUUCUCUACACAGGAGGAAUUGGAUUCAAGUACGUGGCUCUGGGAGACCUCGUCAUCCUCAUCACUUUCGGCCCACUGGCCGUGAUGUUCGCCUAUGCUGUCCAGGUGGGGUCCUUGGCCGUCUUCCCCCUGGUCUACGCCAUCCCUCUCGCCCUUAGCACCGAGGCCAUUCUCCAUUCCAACAACACCAGGGACAUGGAGUCCGACCAGGAGGCGGGCAUCGUCACACUCGCCAUCCUCAUCGGCCCCACCUUCUCCUACGUGCUCUACACCACGCUGCUCUUCCUGCCCUACCUGAUCUUCAGCAUCCUGGCCACACACUACAGCAUCAGCCUGGCACUCCCCCUGCUCACCAUCCCCAUGGCCUUUUCCCUUGAGCGACAGUUCCGAAGCCAGACUUUCAGCAAACUGCCCCAGAGGACCGCCAAGCUCAACCUCCUGCUCGGGCUUUUCUACGUCUUUGGCAUCAUUCUGGCGCCAGCCGGCAGUCUGCCCAAACUCUGAGGGGCCCGGCAGCUCUUCCAUCAUCUGUCCCCUGCCUGAGACUGUGUUGAGGGCAGAGUAUCUCAGGAGAGGAGGUUCCCAUUUGUGUGUCUCCCAUCCUGGGAGCCUGCGUGUCUGGGCAGCAGCUCAGCAGCUGAGCCCGGGAGAGUUGUCACUUUGCACAGAGCCACAGGAUGAGCAGACCAGGGACAUCAGCCCCUCCAUGAAGGAAUAAACUAAGAGACCAACAGUCCUGACCGUGUUCAGAUGAAUGACAGGCCUGCUAGGGAAGGAACUGUGUCUUCCUCUUUGAAGACAGAUGUGCAGUACUGACCCUGCUUCUCCCAGAGGCUUCAUUUGCCUUUUGCAAAGGUAGUUUACACCUAGAAGGUGCAUUCCAACGUUGAUCAAAGUUCUUUUCAUUUCACUGCCUGUGAAGUAUAAUUUCUGGGCUAAAAUUGCUCAGUUGCAUUUGGUCUGAGACUGAAAUAGACUGAGGCCAUCAUUGUUACAGUUCUCUGUUGUGAUGAUAGCCAUUCUGAUAGUGAUUUCAGGGGCUUGACCUGCAGAAAACGACAUAGAAAUUAGUUCUUAAUCCUUAAAAUCAGGCUAAUUAUAUGUUUUGGCUUCUUGAGUUGGGAUUAGUCAGUUUACUUGGAAAACACAUAUCUGGAAAUUGCCAAAGUUCCCCUGAAGUUGAAGGUGAUUUGUCUUGCAGAGAUCUGGAUUCCUCAAAUAGUGGUCAGAGCCCAGUAACAAGGGAAACGGCCCUUCUUCCCAGCACCAUUUUUGUUUUACGCCAGGCCUGUGGCAUUUUGGUGCUCACAGGGGUCCUGCCUUCAGAGACAGGCUCUUCGGGCCCCUCCUCAGAGCAGGCCAUUUUCACUAGGGCUCAGCCCUGAGGUUAUAGGCAGGACCGAGAACUUGGUCCGCAGACCAGAUCCACCUUUCUUUGUAAACACUCCUUUUGGGGUGUCAGCCUCCGCGUUGUGUUUUGGUGCAGAUUUUAAUGCAUUUUUAUAUAUCUAUAUAAAUGUUUCUAAAAGGCCAAACUUGGUGCCAAGUUUUAUAUGGAGGUCACUACAAUUUGUA